CCUGUUCUCUAUUUAAAUUCUCAUUUUCCUUUGAAAUAUCCUCCAGGAUAUUAUCUGAAAUAGGAGAAGUACUUCAUCCUUUCUUAAGAAGAGUUCUCUGAUCAGGGAGAGCAGUUCUGCUUCAAAUUAACAUCUGCAUAGCCAAAAUAUGGUAGCAUGACUUUUGAAUAUGCUUGUACUUGGUUUUUGUUAGUUAGUGUCUUGUUUUUAUCUGGGAUGUGAAGAUCGGGACCAAAGUUUGUGAACUCCAGGAAACUUCUCCAAGGUGAGCCGAGGGAUGGAGCAGCUCUGCUGGGAGGAAAGGCUGGCACAGCUGGCAUUGCUCACCUGCACAGGAGAAGCUUUGGGCUGAGCUCCAGGACCUGAAGGAGCUGCAGGAAAGAUGGAGAGAGACUGUUCAAAAAGGAUGGAGUGAUGGGACGAGGGAGAAUGGCUUCAAACUGACGGAGAGUACAUUCAGGCUGUGCUGAUCCCAUGGAGUCCUCACCAUAAAAAGUUGCCCAGUGAUGCUCUGAAGAGUUAAUCAGCAAGUUCACACCACCUGGAAUGGAAAUUUCUAGAGAUGAAUAUUCUCCUUGCUCCAGGACUUGAGGGCUGACAAUAUUUGCACAGAGCUACAAACUCCAAGCUCAAGGAGAAGUAAAAGUUGUUCAUGCUGGCAAUGCUCAGCCUCACCUGGCAGGAAAAGGUGACCAUUCCAGGGGAGAAGAAACCAAAGACUGACAGCAAAUUUGCUGGUAGCUGCUUGAACCUUCAGUCCCUGUGAGAAUCAGAAAAGUUGAGGCUGAAAAGACCUUCAAGAGCCUCGAGUCCAAGCCAAGGGAUUGUGCCUUUUCAGUAAAUUAAAAAAGAAACAUCCAUCUCUGCUGCAGAGCAUCACCUGGCACGCCUGCUGAUUUAUUUAACUAAUUUUUCAUCCCAUAAUUCUUCCAAUCUGUGUUGAAACCACCUCAUCCUGCAUUUCUGUGCUGAAGGUUACCAAGCUGGCAGAGCUGCGUCCUUCUGAUGACAGAUCUCUCUGACGCUCUGUUUACCUGCCCUUCAUCUGCUCCAAGGCUAACUCAGGUGGGUUUUUUAUUCUCAUCCCCCAGGAAUUCAGGAAUGCCCCACCCAAGCAGGAGGAUUUGUUGAUGCUAAUCAAUCCUCUCCCUUAUGUGGUUUUAACUCCUGAGCUGGUGGUGCUGUCAGAACAGCUCUGAUUGAGUAAUUCAAUAAUUGGUCAUGGGAACCACCUCAGGCUGGUUCCAGUGGUCACCAGCACCUGCUCAGCCUCACUCUUUGCUGUCCCAACAACGGCUCUGGAUCCAUUCCCAGCCCCAGGGGGCACCAAAGGAGGGCAGAAACUUUCUCAGGUUAUUGGAAAAGCCACACAUUUCCCAAAGAGCGCUGUGCUGAAUUAAAGCUUGUCCAAACUCCUCACCCUGGUCAUAUUUCUUGCCCAUCACAGCGGAUGUGUCAGCUGUUGUUUCACCACCUGUUAAUCCGUCUGUGCUCGGGCUGUACAUGUGAUUUAUGAAGGUUCCUGUAUCUCACUUGUUGCCUGCAUGCGACCAGUGCAGAUAUUUUUUCACCAUUCUUGGUUUUUUUUCAUGCUACAUCCACCGAUUAGUCACAAUUUUAGGACAGAGAAAUACGGAAAUUUUUCUUUCCACAACAUUCAUUGAAGUUUUUCUACCUUUUUUAUCAUGAGUUGUAUUGACACAAGAGCUCGGGCAGAUAUU